GUCACCUGAGCCGAAAUCGGUUGCUCAACUGACGGAGCCACCCAGGUGCCCCCAGAAAUCGGAAGUUUAAUUUGUCACAACUACUGUCCCAGCCAAGAAGCAGGAGGAAAUCUGAAGUCAAGGACCUGAUCCGUUCAGUCCUUCUGGUGGUUGGAGAAGAGGACGCAAUUCAACCUAUGAUAGCCUACCUCAUGCUGUCGUACCCAGACUGCUUUCCAUUGCCUACAAAACUUACAGAGAUGCAACAAGCUGAAUCCAUCAUUCAAACUACCCAUCUGAUACAAAAAAAAAAAAAGUGUGGGCAUCCAAAGUGUCCUCUGAAAGAACGACAUGUAAGCAGAGAGAAGCUGUUAACCUGGAGGCUUCAUAUUAAAUGGGAAAUGGAAACAGCAGAGCCAAUUAUUGGUACAUUUCUGCUUGUUGAGGAGACUUCAAAAUAGAAGUUGUUUUAAAAAUCUGCCUCUAAAGAUUUUCUUUUCGGUAAAACUGAAAAAAAUAUAUGAUAGGCCAUAUAUAAAAAAGAACAUCCAUCCUGCCUGCCAAAGUAAUCGUUCACUUCCCCUUCCCAGAUUCCAGGCACAGGAUAAUUGCCUCUCGGAGAUGCUUUGUUGUUUUAGGCGUUCUAAAUAAACCUCUCUCCGGUGGCCCCUCUUAACAGCAGCACCCCCCAGGAACCCGCCAUUGAGCCUUGAAACUGUAAUUUGUUUCAGGCACUCCGAGCAAAAUACAUUGUCUCCCAAUCUCUAAACUUGAUAAUUAGGUGUAUUUAGUUAGAGUUAAAAAUAAAAUAAAGUGGAAAGUUAUCCAGGUGCAAGUUAUUAAACUGAAGAGAUGGCAGAACAGAGCGGGGGACUUCAG